rnacentral:sRNA from 1 species
CAUCUACUCUUAACGAGCUUUGAUGCAUGAAAAAAUUCUAAAACAAUGCUUGAACAAGUAAUUUUGGGUUCGUAAUAUAACCCAAAUCACAAAAAUACCCGAAAAAGUACUUAAAGGUCAAAAUUUGGGGUCGACAAAAAGUCAAUGGAAAAGUUCCUUUGUCCUGCUUCUUUCGUCGGAGGGCUCUUUUUGGGCUUUCCGAAAAGUUAUUACAUGCCAAGUUUGGCCUCACGGUAUAAAAGUUAUAGAGUCAUAAAGUUUUAACCAAAGAAAAAAAUUAAAAAAAAGAGGGAUGCAACACGAGGACUUCCCGGGAGGUCACCCAUCCUAGUACUACUCUUGCCCAAGCACGCUUAACUGCGGAGUUCUGAUGUGAUCCAGUUUAGUGCUGGUCUGACCGCAUCCAUUAGUAUAUGUAAUGCAAUCGUAUAUAUUCUUUUUUUAAGACUUGAUGAACCAUUCGCCAUGGGUCCCAGCCGCUAUGUAGGGAUACCCCAUCUAGUCUUAACGACCUUUGAUGCAUGAAAAAAAUCU